GACGAACGCUGGCGGCGUGCUUAACACAUGCAAGUCGUACGGUAAGGCCCUUUCGGGGGUACACGAGUGGCGAACGGGUGAGUAACACGUGAGUAACCUGCCCACAACUUUGGGAUAACGCUAGGAAACUGGUGCUAAUACUGGAUAUGUGCUCCUGCUGCAUGGUGGGGGUUGGAAAGCUCCGGCGGUUGUGGAUGGACUCGCGGCCUAUCAGCUUGUUGGUGGGGUAGUGGCCUACCAAGGCGGCGACGGGUAGCCGGCCUGAGAGGGUGACCGGCCACAUUGGGACUGAGAUACGGCCCAGACUCCUACGGGAGGCAGCAGUGGGGAAUAUUGCACAAGGGGCGCAAGCCUGAUGCAGCAACGCCGCGUGCGGGAUGACGGCCUUCGGGUUGUAAACCGCGUUCAGCAGGGACGAAGCUUUUUGUGACGGUACCUGCAGAAGAAGCACCGGCUAACUACGUG
rnacentral:rRNA from 1 species